UACGAAGGGGGCUAGCGUUGUUCGGAAUUACUGGGCGUAAAGCGCGUGUAGGCGGGGCUUUAAGUCAGGGGUGAAAUGCCAAGGCUCAACCUUGGAACUGCCUUUGAUACUGGAGAGCUAGAGUCCGGAAGAGGUGAGUGGAACUGCGAGUGUAGAGGUGAAAUUCGUAGAUAUUCGCAAGAACACCAGUGGCGAAGGCGGCUCACUGGCUCGUAACUGACGCUCAUGCACGACAGCGUGGGGAUCAAACAGG
rnacentral:rRNA from 1 species